rnacentral:rRNA from 1 species
GCGAUAGUUAAAUACUGUAAAGACUGAGGAUGACCCUCUUAAUGCUGUGUUCACUAAUUAUCUUGAGUUUCGAAGGCGGUUUAUUGAAUUCUCGAAGGAAGGGUGAAAUUGUUGAUAUUGGAAGACAUUCGAUAGCGAAAGCAAUAACCGAUUCGGAUCUGACGCUAGGUACUAAAGUAUGGGGAUAAAUAGGAUUAGAGACCUAGUAGUCCAUACCUUAAACAAUGAGUAUUCAACAUCUUUUAGCAUGAAUAUGCUAUCUGGGGUUUGAAGUUACGUCGCGAAACACUA